rnacentral:miRNA from 1 species
UGGAGAAGUGAGGGGCUCUCUG